UUCAAGAGUACGUGAAACCGUUCAGGGGUAAACGGGAGAAAUCCUGAAUUCGAAGGGGAUUGGAUUCAGCCCGCGCCAGUAGUUCAGGCCACCUGGCCCCGCCAGAUGUCGCCGGUCGCCCACGGUGAUUAACUUCGCCUGUGGUGUCGUUCCCGGCUAGCACUCGGCGGGGUGGUGUAUCCUAACAGUGGAUGGGUGCACUUCCUCCCUUGUAGAAACGUCGCGACCCGUUGGGUGCCGGUCUCAAGGCCCGGGAUGGCAGACCAUGUUUCCCGCGGGGUGAUCCGCGGGCGCGUGGACUCCUGGUGACCCGGCCGGCUGCCCGACGGUAUGACCAGAGGAGUCGAUCCGCUGAUUUGGGAAACACUGUGGUGGUGUAGCGUCCGGCCCGGCUCCGAUACGCGCGGAUCAGUCGAAGCGUACGUGCAAGAGCACGUGCCGGCGCCCGUCGCGUAUUCGGAUCAAGUCGGUGUCCUCGGACUGGAUCAGUUCUCCCGUCGGCGACGCCCACCUUCGGAUGGU
rnacentral:rRNA from 1 species